rnacentral:rRNA from 1 species
GACGAACGCUGGCGGCGUGCCUAAUACAUGCAAGUCGAGCGGAAUGAUGAAGAAGCUUGCUUCUUCUGAUUUUAGCGGCGGACGGGUGAGUAACACGUGAGCAACCUACCUUGUAGAUUGGGAUAACUCCGGGAAACCGGGGCUAAUACCGAAUAAUCCAUUUUGCUUCAUGGCGAGAUGUUGAAAGACGGUUUCGGCUGUCACUACAAGAUGGGCCCGCGGCGCAUUAGCUUGUUGGUGGGGUAAAGGCCUACCAAGGCGACGAUCCGUAGCUGGUCUGAGAGGACGAUCAGCCACACUGGGACUGAGACACGGCCCAGACUCCUACGGGAGGCAGCAGUGGGGAAUUUUUCGCAAUGGGCGAAAGUCUGACGGAGCAACGCCGCGUGAGUGAAGAAGGUUUUCGGAUCGUAAAACACUGUUGUAAGGGAAGAACACGUACGAGAGUAACUGCUCGUACCUUGACGGUACCUUAUUAGAAAGCCACGGCUAACUACGUG